AACGUAGGAGACGAACGUUAUCCGGAGUUACUGGGCGUAAAGGGCGUGUAGGCGGUAUGUUAAGUCUGGCGUGAAAGCUCUCGGCUAAACCGGGAGAGGUCGUUGGAUACUGGCACACUUGAGGAUGGUAGAGGCGUGCGGAAUUCCGGGUGUAGUGGUGAAAUGCGUAGAGAUCCGGAGGAACACCAGUGGCGAAGGCGGCUUCCUGGUCCAGCAUCGACGUUCAGGCACGAAAGCGUGGGGAGCAAACAGG
rnacentral:rRNA from 1 species